rnacentral:lncRNA from 1 species
UACAAACAGGACCAAGUACGACCCGUACAAAAAUCUCUAAACAAAAGCAAAUACAAACUAAGUCUACCCAUCAUCCCUAGUGGGAUAAGCAUCCUCGUACCAUGAAUCCGAAGCCAGAUGACCCACAUCGUCAAAGCUGAUAUCGCCUAUAUCGGGAGUAUGAGGUAUACCUACAGGCCUCACGAGCCGUACGAGCUGCGGUAUAAAAGGCCUCAAGCUCCGCCUCGGUCACCCUUCCCUUGGCAAUAAAAUCCCUAUACACAUCUAGCCGGGCCUCAACAUGAACCCACAACUCAUAUGAACGACGAGGCACGCCGGAUCGGCUGUGGGAUGAGACGUGGAAGGCUGAGAGCGUCGUUUCACCUUCUACGCCCUCAGCGAGGCCAUAUGACCAUUUAUUAUAGCCAGCUCCACCUCCAAUUCUCUAAUGUGCCCUUCGAGUCCUUCAACCCGAUGACCAGAGGCUUCCA